GACGAACGCUGGCGGCGUGCUUAACACAUGCAAGUCGAACGGUGAAGCGCCUUCCUUUUUGGUGGGUGUGGAUGAGUGGCGAACGGGUGAGUAACACGUGAGUAACCUGCCCCCUUCUUCUGGAUAACCGCAUGAAAGUGUGGCUAAUACGGGAUAUUCUGGGUCUGUCGCAUGAUGGGUCUGGGAAAGAUAUUGUUUCGGUGGGGGAUGGGCUCGCGGCCUAUCAGCUUGUUGGUGGGGUGAUGGCCUACCAAGGCGGUGACGGGUAGCCGGCCUGAGAGGGUGGACGGUCACACUGGGACGGAGACACGGCCCAGACUCCUACGGGAGGCAGCAGUGGGGAAUAUGGCACAAUGGGCGGAAGCCUGAUGCAGCGACGCCGCGUGAGGGAUGGAGGCCUUCGGGUUGUGAACCUCUUUCGCCAGUGAAGCAGGCCUGCCUCGUUUGUGGGUGGGUUGACGGUAGCUGGAUAAGAAGCGCCGGCUAACUACGUG
rnacentral:rRNA from 1 species